AGGGUUCGAUUCUGGCUCAGGAUGAACGCUGGCGGCGUGCUUAACACAUGCAAGUCGAACGAGGUGAUAUGAGAAGCUUGCUUUUGAUAUCACUUAGUGGCGGACGGGUGAGUAACGUGUGGGCAACCUGCCUCAUACAGGGGAAUAAUCACUGGAAACGGUGACUAAUACCGCAUAAGAUUACCGGUAGGCAUCUGCUGGUAAGGAAAGGAGCAAUCCGGUAUGAGAUGGGCCCGCAUCUGAUUAGCUAGUUGGUGAGAUAAUAGCCCACCAAGGCGACGAUCAGUAGCCGACCUGAGAGGGUGAUCGGCCACAUUGGGACUGAGACACGGCCCAA
rnacentral:rRNA from 1 species